rnacentral:rRNA from 1 species
AUUGAACGCUGGCGGAAUGCUUUACACAUGCAAGUCGAGCGGCAGCGCGGGGCAACCUGGCGGCGAGCGGCGAACGGGUGAGUAAUGCAUCGGAACAUGUCCAUGUCGUGGGGGAUGGCCUGGCGAAAGCCGGAUUAAUACCGCAUACGCCCGAGAGGGGAAAGCCGGGGACCGCAAGGCCUGGCGCGAUUGGGUUGGCCGAUGUCCGAUUAGCUAGUUGGUGGGAAAGCCCACCAAGGCGAUGAUCGGUAGCUGGUCUGAGAGGAUGAUCAGCCACACUGGGACUGAGACACGGCCCAGACUCCUACGG